GUUUAUAGGUGCCUUAAUUUAAGGGUAAAAGGGAAAGUGGUUAAAAUCCACUACAGCCCCCGCUACUGUAAGUAGGACAAGUUUAGAAUAUCCACUGGUUAAUACUGGGAAGGAUUAAAUGAGGAUGAGUACAAAGUCAGGAAACCUGCCUAAAAUCUUA
rnacentral:ncRNA from 1 species